UAAAUAUAUCUGGGGUGCCAUUUGGCUGAGAUAACACCCAUUGAACCUGCUCUGGUUAAGACCAGCGAAGGGAGAUAAUGACCGGUUUAC
rnacentral:ncRNA from 2 species